AGUUUGAUCAUGGCUCAGAUUGAACGCUGGCGGCAUGCCUUACACAUGCAAGUCGAACGGCAGCACGGGAGCUUGCUCCUGGUGGCGAGUGGCGAACGGGUGAGUAAUACAUCGGAACGUACCCUGAAGUGGGGGAUAACGUAGCGAAAGUUACGCUAAUACCGCAUAUUCUGUGAGCAGGAAAGAGGGGGAUCGCAAGACCUCUUGCUUUAGGAGCGGCCGAUGUCGGAUUAGCUAGUUGGUGAGGUAAAGGCUCACCAAGGCGACGAUCCGUAGCGGGGUCUGAGAGGAUGAUCCGCCACACUGGGACUGAGACACGGCCCAGACUCCUACGGGAGGCAGCAGUGGGGAAUUUUGGACAAUGGGCGCAAGCCUGAUCCAGCCAUGCCGCGUGAGUGAAGAAGGCCUUCGGGUUGUAAAGCUCUUUCGGUGGGGAAGAAAUUGCUUCGGUUAAUACCUGGAGUAGAUGACGGUACCCGCAUAAGAAGCACCGGCUAACUACGUG
rnacentral:rRNA from 1 species